rnacentral:sRNA from 1 species
ACCAUGGCUUCCCACCACUCAGGAUCCAUGGGCUUUUACUCCAACAUGGCAUUUUCUCAGAUCUUUGAAACUUUGAAAGUGAAGGAGCAUCGAUAAUGUGUGAGACAGAUCAUGGGUGUCUUCUGAGCAUGGCUGUGCGAGGCACCCCCAGCCCGUGGCCAUCUCAGCCUGUUGUCUUUCUGUUCAUAGACUGGAGCGCUGCUCAGCGCUUUCGUUCAGCUGUGCCACAUUUCCACGACGCUGGCAGAGAAGACGUGGGUCCAGCUUUUCCCCAGAUUGUGGAAGAUCCUCUCUGACAGACAGCAGCAUGCACUGGCGGGCGAGAUAAGUCCGUUCCUGUGCAGCGGCAGUCACCAGGUGCAGCGAGACUGCCAGCCCAGCGCACUGAACUGCUUUGUGGAAGCCAUGUCCCAGUGCGUGCCGCCGAUCCCCAUCCGACCCUGCGUCCUGAAGUACCUGGGGAAAACACACAACCUCUGGUUCCGGUCCACGCUGAUGCUGGAGCACCAGGCUUUUGAAAAGGGUCUGAGUCUUCAGAUUAAGCCGAAGCAAACAACGGAGUUCUAUGAGCAGGAGAGCAUCACCCCGCCGCAGCAGGAGAUACUGGAUUCCCUUGCGGAGCUUUACUCCCUGUUACAAGAGGAAGAUAUGUGGGCUGGUCUGUGGCAGAAGCGGUGCAAGUACUCGGAGACGGCGACUGCAAUUGCUUACGAGCAGCACGGGUUCUUUGAGCAGGCACAAGAAUCCUAUGAAAAGGCAAUGGAUAAAGCCAAAAAAGAACAUGAGAGGAGUAACGCCUCCCCUG